rnacentral:rRNA from 1 species
AUGCCAUCACAUUAUAUGAUGAAUGUUUCACUUUCAGUCAUCAGGCCUCGGUCCUUGGCAUCCACACGAAGUUGUACGUGCCUACCUGGCUACUUACCUGCCGAGAUACAUCCACUGAGCCUCCCCAGCAAUCGCCUCCAAACACUGAGCCAUCAGGUUGCAUGUCCAGAAAUGAGGGCUUCUUCUUUCUACACAUCAUUUUCACAAAAGGAAGAAGGCGCAAAAGUUCAGGGUAUUAAUACACAUCACAGAACACAAGUCACAUGGCAUGCAGAAAGGCAGCUCUUCGUGCGAUGGAGCAAUAGUUGUCCGGCUAGUCCUACUGUAUCCAUCAACCCUAAUUUUGGAAGGAACGUCUAUAAACUGCUAGCACAGCAUGCUAUAUAG